rnacentral:tRNA from 1 species
GCCGGGGUAGCAUAGUGGCCGAAUGCGGCGGGCCUGAACCCCGUAGAGUGCUCGACAGAGGCUCCGUGAGUUCGAAUCUCACCCCCGGCG